AGAUAUUAAAUGUCUUACAUAAUUACAUACACUGUAAAAAACAUUUCAUUGUUGACAUAAAAGUAUGAAAUCUGAUAUCAUUUUGUUGAUGGUUGCCUUGGUAACCUUAUAAUGAACAGCUCUAUACUGAAUCAUCAGAUUGUUUGACAAAAACCUUCUUUAACGAUGCUACAUCACCGACAUCGUAUACACUACUUCUCAUAAAUACAUGUAUACAACAAUCAAUAUUGUAUACAUUACCUUUGUCGGAGAUGUAGCACCUUUAAUGGAGUUUUUUUGGGACAAAAGCAUAUUUACAAAGAUAAAUCAGAUAUGAAAAAAUAGAAUCAAACCUCAACUAAUAUCUCAAAAAAAUAAUUUGUUUUAUUUCUUAUGACUUUUCGAUGGAAUGAUAAAGUAACAACAAGGAAAGUAAUUAUUGAAAAAAUACUUUUAAAGAAAAUCUACCAAAAAAAAAUUUAAAAACAACCUUGAAUUGAGGAAUUUGAAAUGUCAUAAUAUUUAUUCACGUGAUAAACAUUGUUUCAUUCUGUUGUAUGUGCUAUACUCUUUAUUUACUCUUUAGUGUAAAUAACCAUGAAGAUUGCUUUAUUCUAACCUAGCGAUUUCUCUUGUAUUUAACAGCAUCACUAUGAAGCAAAGUAAAUUUAAAAAUUGACCAAUUUAGGGUUAUUUUGUUCAUUUUGCUUUUGAAUUUGUAAAAUGUUAUAAAUCUUUAUCAUUGUAAUGUUGAUGUGAUUCCCUAUAAAGGUGCAUUAUUGAUCAGUAAAAUAAUUAUAUAUAUAUAUAUUAUAUUGCAGACCUUCUAAAGAUUUCAGAGGACAUAACUUUUUAUUCAUUUGAAGAACUUUCACAAAGAUAUCAAUUACAUACAAAUUUUCUUCAGGUCCAAGGAUUAAUAUCUGCAGUUCGGAAAUGUCUGCCAGAUCCUCUACCCCAAAAUAUCUCACCAGUUAUUCGCCCUUUGCUACCUCCUAAUAUACAGUGUUUUCUCUCAAGUAUCAGUGAUUCAAAACUCUUUUAUAAUAUUUUCAAUAAAACAGACACUGUUGCUACUGGCAAAUCAAAAUGGAAUGAACAGCUCUUAUUUGAUGAAGAAGAAUGGAGUAAAAUAUACAAUAUUCCACGUAAAGUAACAAAAAAUACUAAACUUCAAUGGCUUCAAUAUCGCAUAUCUCAUUAUAUUCUUACCACCAAUUCUAAUUUGUUUAAAUAUGGCAUAGUAAAUAGCCCUAUGUGCACUUUCUGUAACUCUGAAAGAGAAACAAUAAUUCACUUGAUGUGGGAAUGCCAGGAAGUGCAAAAUCUAUUACAAAAUUUUGAAUCACUGGUAGAUGCACUCUAUAUUCCUUUUGCAAUAAAUAAACAGUCUUUUCUCUUUGGACUCACAAACAAUAGUAUUAAUGCAACAGUUGAUAAUAUAGUAAUUCUUAUCAUCAAACAAUACAUUUAUAGAACGAGGUGUCUUAAUAAAUCCUUAAAUGUCAACGCAUUGGCAAACAACAUAAAAGAUUACUACAAUACACAGAAAUUCAUAUCAAACGGUCAGAAUGAUAUUUUCAAAGCAAAAUUUGCGAAUACUUGGUGUAAAUGGAAAAACCUUAUUUGUCUUGAUAUUUAAUAGCCAAAACUUAUUCCUGACAGUUUACAAACACUAUUAUAUUCUAUUUGUAACUAAACCUAUGCCAUUAUGAAUAUUACUCCCCACAUCUCUACCCUAAAGGAAACUCUUUUAAUUUCUAUCUCUCUACAGAAAUAAAUAAUUUUCUCUUUGUACAUGUAUUCAAAUUAACCGCAACUAUUCUCCUUGUUUCUAUCACCACUUUUUUUCUUUUUUUCCUCCUCCUUCCCUUCUUCCUUUCUCUUAAAUAUGUUAUGUUUCAGUGUGAGAGUGGAUAUACUAGUAUGUAUGCAUGGGUGUAUGGGUGUAAAUGAAACAAUAAAUGAAUAUGAAUAUUGAUACAAUGAAUAAGUUUUAAAAUGUUGUAUGUGAGGAUAUGUGUGUAUGUAGGAAUAUAUAUUACGUACUCUAUGAGUGAAUGAGAAUGCAUGAGAAAAUAUUUACAGUAAUCAUAUGGAUAUGACUUAUUUGAGAUAUAACUUCAUUAUUUUUGGUCAUUUUGAUAAUGUGAGCACAAUCUUGAUUUAAUUAUCUAAUUCAAAUGUACAUACAUUGUUAUUAUUUGAUUAUUUUGAUAUGAUCGUAUCAUGCUUAAAUCAUUUAAAUUACAAUGUAGCUUAAAAUGUAAUCCCAUUACAUCAAACAUGAUGUCAUUGGUUGUAACGUUGAUUUUGAUUGGUCAGAAUAAUUUCGCAGCAAUUUUACAUUCAGAAGAAAGAAUCUGUUACGGUAAGUAAAAUAUACCGAAUCAUAAAUUGAGUAAUCUAUUUCAGUUUCGUAGUUAUAACCAUUGAUACCACCUUCGAGGUUAUCUAGAGUAAACUUUUUUCUCAAUAUCGUAUCUACUCCUACUGAAAUGAAUCAUAACUAUCUCAAAGAAAUAUAAUAUUAAUAACAAUAUGUCUAAUUCAGGUAUGAAAUGGAUCUUUUAAUCGAAAUUCAAAUGAGUAAUUAUAUAAUUGAUUGAUAAAAUCAGCCCUUUUUAAAAUGAUUCAUUGAACAGUUUAAAUAUUAGUUUGUUUUUGCUUUGUUUUUGUUUUUUGUUAUUUGUCAGGCGAGUCUCUGGUGCCGCGAAUACGUCUCUCAGAACUUGUGAAAUCCUGUUUAUCCAAUCGAAUAAGGAAGUUUGUCCAGGUAAUCCCCGUAGGAUUCUCUAGUCCAAUCAUUGUGUUGACGAAUCGCGGCGAUGAGAUACCUUUGUACUAAGGCCAUAAGUGAACUUUAUGUCAUCAAAGACGGCGGUUCCUGACUAUUGGAUGCUGAUUAUCUGAUUCUCUGUUACCUAGGCUUUAUUUGAAAAACACCUUCAAAAUUCAGUUUCUUUAGGAUUCCUCCGAUAUAGAUUCGACGUCGGUGUGGAUGCCAUAGUUAGCAUGACAUUGUAACACCUACCUACGUAUUGAUGUUUGACAUCAUGAAGUGCCAUGUCUAUUUUUUCACAUCAUGAGGACUAAGCGUUACGGAAAAGACAUACCAUAUAUUAUGCCUUCUCAACAAACACAGCGCUGAAGCAUUAUUGAUAGAAAUGUUUAAGUUUAGUAUAUUCUAUAAAAAAUGUCUUGAUCGACACUUACCAACAGAACACUAAGUGAAUAAUAACGAAUGAUAACUGGUGGUCACAAGGAACAGUGGGUAUUAUAAAAACUAUACAAAUAUUUCUCAGUUUUAGUUUUUCACAUUUUCCAAACAUAGGUGGCAUUCCAAGGUUUUCCAGAGUUUUUUUAAAGACUCAUUGAGUUUUAUCUCUGGUUUUUUAUCCUGGGUGCGGAGGAGGUAUAUACUAAAUUUAUUGAUCUAAAGUAAAGCGAAACUGUGCGAUCAUGUACAAUGUACGAUAUGCAAUAUUCAGUGAUGUUGUAUUGUUAUUGUGUCAUAAAUUUAAAGAAUAAACGGCCGAUUCAUUGUCCAUUGAACAGGCUACCGAUAUCUAAGUUA